ACCUUCAUGGUGUAGUGGUCAGCACACUCGACGCGAAUUCAAGAGGUCCGUGGUUCGAAUCCCGGGGAGGGCA
rfam:Stegodyphus mimosarum contig93612, whole genome shotgun sequence.